UUUUUUGGCGGGUCGGAUGGAGCAGCCUCCGGGCUGGCCGGGUUCCUUUGGACCGGUGACGCCAACUCUGUUCGAUCCGCCUCCCCU
rnacentral:antisense_RNA from 1 species